GCCACUGGGAUUCUCCAUGUGCUCUUGGGACCACAGUUUCCUGUGUGAGCAAGAAGGUCCCUUCCCUCAGGGCUUAACCUCCAUGCAGUCACGGCUGCUGUCACAGACACUGGGAUGGCCUGGGUGGGAGUGUGCAUGUGGGAUGGUAAGAGUGGGAGAGAAUGGAAAAGGACAAAAGAAACACAAGCAAAAACAGAAAAGCAGUGCUCCUGGCCCCCUGAGCACCCCAUCCCUCUCUCUGCACCUGAUGCACAUUCAGGCUUCAGGCUUCUUUGAGUGCCAGCUAGGGGAGACCAAAAGAAAAAUAAGAGACACUCACCAUCAGUUCAGUGGUGCUAACUUUAUGAUUUCCUUUUGCAAAAUACUUGCUGUCAUUUAUUUUUUGCAGCUCCCAAAAUCAUGAGUGUUAGUUGCAUUUAGUAAGAGACAUCCAAAGGCCAAAUGUGCUUCUCGGCAAAUUUUCCAGAUUGGAACUCACUCCUUGCAAAGUGAAUUCAUAGUUCCUCAAUCAAAGGCUGUAGUUUCUUCCCCCAUUAGAAUGGGGUUCCAGGUCUGAGUCUAGACCUUAAAAGGCCUAAUGAGAUUCUGGCAGGCCUCUUGAAUCCCCACCAUUGUCAUGACAACAAGUCCUGGAGGAUGAAGACCCACCUCGUAUAGAGAAGAUUCAUCCUAGCCCAGGCUACCUUGACCUAGUCACCUGGUAUUCCACUGAUGGGUUAGCUGGAGCCUAGGUGGUCACCAGCUGAGUGUGACUCAGAUCAGGAGAACAGCCCAGCUGACCAGAGAGUUAAUGAGGAUUAAUAAAUGAUUGCUGUUUUAAACCAGUAUGCUUUGUGAUGUUUGUCAUACAGUGUUAUUGUGCAAUAGUACAGAGAGACGGAGAGAUAGAUAGGGAAAAUAUGCAGGAAGUUAAUAUAUAUAAAGAGAGAAAGAAAGACAUAUUAUUUAUUAUAUCAAGCAUAUUCAUAUAUUAAAUAGAUGUAUAACAGUGUAGUUUGGAGAUAACUCCGGAGUGGAUAUCUGGGUAAAAUUCAACAACAAUAAAAGGUUCAGGAGACACUGACCAAGGAAGAUUGUAACACAAUGGUUGCUGGCAUGAGAGCAUGACUGUCAGUUUUAUCUCUGCACUAGGAACUCUCUCACUAACUGAAUAUAGCCAUUUGUCAAAAUAUGAAGGGUAAAUUAUUUGUACCAAAGUCCAAACUAACUGCACUUGAUAAACCUGCACAAGCUUGUCAGUAAAGAGAUGCAGGAGGAGGAACGGUGGAUAAUAGUUCUUGGUCUAGAUGAAUAUUUUUAGAUGGACAUACGUGAAAUCCCUUUUGACAAAUUAGUGUAACAGGUAGCUCCUGUUAUACAGGUUUUCCUCUGACAAGAAAUAAAAUAAAACUUUAGUUUGCACUUGGCUUUGUGUUAACCUAAAUCUCUCAAGGAUUAAACCUAUGUACCUCUCAUUUUAUAUUCUAACCAUGUGUACUGCAAUGUAAAAGAAAUCAUUUGUUACUGCAAUCAAACGCAGUACUUUUUCUCCUUCCUCUUUCCCACCAUCUAGGAUCUUCAGGAGAAGCAGAAGAAAAGCAGGAUAGUGAAAAACCACUUUCAGGACAAUGAGAACUCUUUUGUUAAAGUAUAAAUUUGUGAAGCAUGAAAAUCACCCCAGAGUCCCAAAUUUCCAAAUAAGGAUGACUUAGUUCACUUUUAUUUAUGUAGCCAGAAUGUCUCUGUGUCAGACAUGGUUUGUCUACAAACCCGAACUUCUGCAGGCAGUGAGGGCAGCAGUCCUGGGAGGAUGCUUGUCUCCACUUGUCUCCUUGUCUCCACUUAACGGAGAUGGGUGAGGCCGAGGGUGAGUGACCGGUCCAGGGUCCCACGACUGACAGAGGCAGAGCCGGGACUCAGGCGCCCUGACCGGUACCAAGAUCCGUGCUGAUCCUGCACCAGUGGGUGUCUCUGGAGCACACUGGAGCUUCUGAGAUGGCAGACACGGUCCAGCGGCGGCAGUGCGGCUCCAUGUGCCUCCAAGUCCAGGAACAUUCAUCGUUCAGUCCCUCAAGUCACCAAGGAAACAUUUCAACCUCAGAAACACAAGCAAAUAAACAUAUGAUCAGUUGUAAUAGCAGUGACUGCAUAAUUAUUUAACCAUAGAAGGGAAAAGAGAGUAGAUCUUAAACUUCAUGUCGCUGAGCCACCAGGGAAGCCCAGGGACCGUUUAUAAAUAUGGAAUCAUUAUGCUGGUAACUGAGACUAAUGUAAUGUUUCAUGUCAAUUAUAGCCCCACUGAAAGCUAAUAAAAUCUUUUCUAAAAGAAAGGGAAAUCAGAGGACUGGAUGGAGUAGCUGGGCAGCUGAUAUAGGGACAGGCAGGCCAGCGGAGGCAGCCACAGUCGGAGCAAACAGAGACCCUGCCCUGCAUCUGUGGUUCUCAAUGAACUUGGACCUCUUGUUUCCACAACAGUGUUCAGACCUAAAGCGAAAAUGUGGGCAUGUGAAGAGUAAAUCCUUUUCUAAAAUGCUUCAAAAUAAAUUCUUGGGUGGCCUAAAUCAUAUAGACACUUCAGUGUCUAUUUCACAGCCCAUGAAAUAAUAGACUUUGUUAUAAAAAAAACACAAAGUAACAUGCAAUAUUUAGCCUUUUCAUGCUACAUCUCAAAUAAUUUUUGUGUUCUUUCUUUUUCUGCAUGAAAAACCUUCAUUGAAAGUCACUAGAGGGGAAAAAAAGACUGGAAAUUGGUUAUUCUUUUUGAAAACUGAAAUGGUGACAUCUACUGCUGAUGUUAUUCAGGGGUUAAUAAAGGUUUUAUUGAUUGUAGUACCUCACAGACAUGGCACCCUAGAUUUAGUUGCCUGCCUGUGGCUGAUAAGAUUGUGUCAUGAUCCACCCUGUAUUCCAUGAGACUGAGUCUGAUCUCUUAAUGAAAAGUUGGGAAAAAGACCUGUGCUUUGUUCCUAAACAAAAGACCUCUUAAUAUAUUGGAGUAGCAUUUCUUUGUAAGCAAAAUCUCUUUUUAUUUUUUAUUUUAUUUUGAUUUGCAGAAUGGAGGGUAUUUUUUUCUUUUGUGUCUUGGACUUCUUUUUAAUAUCAUUUUUAACACCCAGCUUUCUAUUGUGUUUUUAAAUUCAUGCACAUGCACUAUUUGUACAAUUGUAAAAAGUAAGAAAACAGAGUAUGUCGGGAGUUCCCUGAUGGUCCUGUGGCUAGGACUCAGCACUUUCACUGCAGCUAAAAAAUAAAACAAAAUAAAAAACCCUGAA